GAUGAACGCUAGCGGCAGGCUUAAUACAUGCAAGUCGAGGGGCAGCAUGACUGUAGCAAUACAGUUGAUGGCGACCGGCAAACGGGUGCGGAACACGUACAGAACCUUCCUUCGAGCGGGGAAUAGCCCAGAGAAAUUUGGAUUAAUACCCCAUAGUACAACGGAGUGGCAUCACUUUGUUGUUAAAGAUUUAUCACUUGAAGAUGGCUGUGCGGCUGAUUAGGUAGUUGGCGGGGUAACGGCCCACCAAGCCUGCGAUCAGUAACUGGUGUGAGAGCACGACCAGUCACACGGGCACUGAGACACGGGCCCGACUCCUACGGGAGGCAGCAGUAAGGAAUAUUGGUCAAUGGACGAAAGUCUGAACCAGCCAUGCCGCGUGGAGGAUGAAGGUCCUCUGGAUUGUAAACUUCUUUAUAUGGGACGAAAAAAGGGUUUCUAACUCGUCUGACGGUACCAUAUGAAUAAGCACCGGCUAACUCCGUGCCAGCAGCCGCGGUAAUC
rnacentral:rRNA from 1 species